CAGCCGCGUAAUUCCAGCUCCAAUAGCGUAUAUUAAAGUUGCUGCAGUUAAAAAGCUCGUAGUUGAAUUUCGGGACCAUCAUGUCGGUCGUGCCUCGGUACGUACUGGCAUUGUUGGUUUCUCCCUUCUGACGAACCAUGAUGUCAUUUAUUUGGUGUUGUGGGAAAUCAGGACUGUUACUUUGAAAAAAUUAGAGUGUUUAAAGCAGGCUCACGCUUGAAUACAUUAGCAUGGAAUAAUGAAAUAGGACGUUUGAUUCUAUUUUGUUGGUUUCUAGGAUCGACGUAAUGAUUAAUAGGGAUAGUUGGGGGCAUUAGUAUUCAAUUGUCAGAGGUGAAAUUCUUGGAUUUAUUGAAGACUAACUACUGCGAAAGCAUUUGCCAAGGAUGUUUUCAUUAAUCAAGAACGAAAGUUAGGGGAUCGAAGACGAUCAGAUACCGUCGUAGUCUUAACCAUAAACUAUGCCGACUAGGGAUCGGAUGAUGUUAAUUUUUUAAUGACUCAUUCGGCGCCUUACA
rnacentral:misc_RNA from 1 species